rnacentral:rRNA from 1 species
GACAGAAGGUGCAAGCGUUACUCGGAAUUACUGGGCGUAAAGCGUCUGUAGGCGUCCAGCCACGUCUGGCAGUAAAUCGCGGGGCUCAACCCCGCAUCUCUGCUGGAAACGAGUUGGAUCGAGUUAUUCAGGGGCAUCUGGAAUGUCGUGUGUAGGGGUAAAAUCCGUAGAUACACGAUGGAACGCCAAAAGUGAAGACAGGAUGCUAGGAAUAUACUGACGCUCAGAGACGAAAGCGUGGGGAGCAAAGGGG